CGUAAGCAACCCGCCUAUCAGAGGGGAAUAACAGUGAGAAAUCAUUGCUAAUACCGCAUAAGCUAGUAGUAUCGCAUGAUAUAGCUAGAAAAGGAGCAAUCCGCUGAUAGAUGGGCUUGCGUCUGAUUAGCUAGUUGGUGGGGUAACGGCCUACCAAGGCGACGAUCAGUAGCCGGACUGAGAGGUUGAACGGCCACAUUGGGACUGAGAUACGGCCCAGACUCCUACGGAAGGCAGCAG
rnacentral:rRNA from 1 species